rnacentral:rRNA from 1 species
GACGAACGCUGGCGGCGUGCCUAAUGCAUGCAAGUCGCACGCACGGAGCUUGCUCCGUGAGUGGCGCACGGCUGAGUAUCACGUGGGAACGUGCCCUGGGGUGGGGGAUAACGGUGCGAAAGCGACGCUAAUCCCGCAUACGCUCACCAAUUGGUGAGGAAAGCAGUAAUGCGCCCGAGGAGCGGCCCGCGGCCCAUCAGGUCGUUGGGGGGGUAAUGGCCUCCCAAGCCGAUGACGGGUAGCUGGUCUGUGAGGACAAUCAGCCAGACUGGGACUGAGACACGGCCCAGACUCCUACGGGAGGCAGCAGCAAGGAAUUUUCGUCAAUGGGCGCAAGCCUGAACGAGCAACGCCGCGUGGUGGAUGACGGCCUUCGGGUUGUAAACACCUUUUGGGGGGGAUGAUGAUGACAGUACCCUCCGAAUCAGGCUCGGCUAACUCUGUGC